rnacentral:rRNA from 1 species
AGUGAACGCUAGCGGUAGGCCUAACACAUGCAAGUCGAACGGCAGCACAGUAAGAGCUUGCUCUUACGGGUGGCGAGUGGCGGACGGGUGAGGAAUACAUCGGAAUCUACUUUUUCGUGGGGGAUAACGUAGGGAAACUUACGCUAAUACCGCAUACGACCUACGGGUGAAAGCAGGGGAUCUUCGGACCUUGCGCGAUUGAAUGAGCCGAUGUCGGAUUAGCUAGUUGGCGGGGUAAAGGCCCACCAAGGCGACGAUCCGUAGCUGGUCUGAGAGGAUGAUCAGCCACACUGGAACUGAGACACGGUCCAGACUCCUACGGGAGGCAGCAGUGGGGAAUAUUGGACAAUGGGCGGAAGCCUGAUCCAGCCAUACAGCGUGGGUGAAGAAGGCCUUCGGGUUGUAAAGCCCUUUUGUUGGGAAAGAAAAGCAGCAGGUUAAUACCCCGCUGUUCUGACGGUACCCAAAGAAUAAGCACCGGCUAACUUCGU